UAAAAGAUUUUGCAUGAUGGAUUUGACAAGGGCAAUGGCAUGGAACACAUUUUGAUACUCCUAAGAGGGGAAGAUGGAAUUAAUAUACAUGACAAGUAAUGAUUUUGCAAUAUUAUAAUGAAACAACAGUAAAUGUUUUUUUUUAAUUACCAUCGCCUCAAUAGGACAUAUUUACACAAAGUUAUCAAGCCUGUCUCUGCAAUUUACCUCUGUAGCUUAUCUCUGGUUGAGUCGAUAGCAGCAAUUUAAACAGCCAUCAGAAUGUAUGUGGAUUUAGUGCCAUAUAUUUGACUUACAAUGUUUUGGUUAGUUGUAUACAUCUUUUCCAUGUGUCUUUACACUAGACCCUGCACCUGCGCCCCCAACCAUGGCCCCCAAACCACCACCACCACCACCACCUGAGCCAUCUCCCCUGCCCUCUAGCUCAGCAGCCCCACCUUAGUCCCCCACCAAGCUGGACCAUCCACCAAAGAACACAGGUGGCAGCAAAAGAGUCAACCCAACAGACUGUGAAUUCCACACCAAGAUGGAGACCUUCCCAUACUCCAAAAUUGUGGCUCGAAGGACUCGCAAUGGGAAAAAAGAGGUCAAGGUGAAAUGGGUGCCAUGCCCACAAUGCCACUUGAGAUGGAAUGAUUCGUGGGUGCAAUUGUAAUUUUCCACUUUCCAGUUUUUCAAGUUUCCAAUUGUACUACAGAAUAAACUGUUUUUGAAAUGGUAGUUCCUACUUUUUUGUGACAUUUGUUACAUCAUAACAGAUUACAUGUUGAAUGUCGUUAGUGAUGCUGUGACUGCAUGCCAUGGGCCACUGAUUUCAUCAAGAGCAAUUGUGCACUUCAUUCAGGUUUGCAAAUGUCCUAUCAGCAUCAACCCCAGUGGAAAAUAUGCAUACCUUUUAUUGAAGAAAUAUAU